CAACAACCAGGGUUUAAGGCCAAUCCCAUAAAUCUGUUCUCAGUUCGGAUCGCAGUCUGCAACUCGACUGCGUGAAGCUGGAAUCGCUAGUAAUCGCGGAUCAGCAUGCCGCGGUGAAUACGUUCCCGGGCCUUGUACACACCGCCCGUCACACCACGAGAGUUUGCAACACCCGAAGUCGGUGAGGUAACCUUUAUGGAGCCAGCCGCCGAAGGUGGGGCAGAUGAUUGGGGUGAAGUCGUAACAAGGAUAGCCGUAA
rnacentral:rRNA from 1 species